AACGUAGGUGGCAAGCGUUAUCCGGAUUUACUGGGCGUAAAGGGUGUGCAGGCGGGACGACAAGUGGUGUAUGAAAUCUCCCAGCUUAACUGGGAUAGGUUAUGCCAGACUGUCGUUCUAGAGGACGAGAGAGGGGGGUGGAAUUCCUGGUGUAGCGGUGGAAUGCGCAGAUAUCAGGAAGAACACCCGUGGCGAAGGCGGCUCUCUGGAACGCAACUGACGCUGAGACGCGAAAGCGUGGGGAGCAAACGGG
rnacentral:rRNA from 1 species